AUUCAGCUGAUGAGUCCCAAAUAGGACGAAACGUGCGUCCUGGAU
rnacentral:hammerhead_ribozyme from 1 species